GACGAACGCUGGCGGCGCGCUUAACACAUGCAAGUCGAACGGAAAGGCCUGCUUUCCCUUGUGGAUUGCGGGUACUCGAGUGGCGAACGGGUGAGUAACACGUGAGUGAUCUGCCCCCAACUUGGGUAUAAGCCUGGGAAACUGGGUCUAAUUCCCGAUAGGACUGCAGGGUGGUGUCGGUGGUGGAAAACGAUUUUCUAGUGGUUGGGGAUGAGCUCGCGGCCUAUCAGCUUGUUGGUGGGGUAAUGGCCUACGAAGGCGGCGACGGGUAGCCGGCCUGAGAUGGUGGACGGCCACAUUGGGACUGAGAUACGGCCCAGACUCCUACGGGAGGCAGCAGUGGGGAAUAAUGCACAAUGGGCGGAAGCCUGAUGCAGCGACGCCGCGUGGGGGAUGACGGCCUUCGGGUUGUAAACUCCUUUCGACCGCGAGGAAGCCACCUGGUUGGAAGGGUGGUGACGGUAGUGGUAGAAGAAGCACCGGCUAACUACGUG
rnacentral:rRNA from 1 species